GUGCUCAUUUUGGCAACACAUACACUAAGACUGGAGUGAUACACAGAAGAUUAGCAUGGCCCCUGUGCAAGGAUGACACAAAUUCGUGAAGCAUUUCAUAUUUUU